GUCGCCUUCGUCUCCGUCGUCGUCGUCGCCGUCCAAAGACGAGAUGAUUUUGGAUGCUAAUUUUCCGGACAUUCGACCCAACUCAUUUUCCAUCACCAGCGGAACAUGUUCAUCUAUUUACUCCCCGGAGGGCGCCAAUUUCACCAAGCAUAGAAACAAUUUCGCGAAGCAUGUCUGUUAACUAUCUCUUUGUAGUAGCCCUUUCAUCAGCAGAGAAUUUAAUUUCCUCGUGAAAGGCUAUUUCAAACAGUGCAAACGGAAAUCCUCCAAAUCGGAAGUCACGCGAGGAAACACCCACAUUCAUAAUUUACGAGCACACGUGACCACUGGAAAACAAUGGUGAAAGACUAGGAGCUCCAUUCAUGGUUUGCAGUCUGGUGGCGUAAAGCAUUUCAAUGGGUAAACAUCAUCAAAUAUUCAUCCGUAAGUGAAACUAGCUGCCAUUAAUCCCUUGGCUCGGAAACGGUCUAUCAUGCUGAAACAUCCUUUCCAAACAUCCCACCGAAUCUGAUCUCCAGUCCCCAAAGCGAUUCGGGCUGAACGGAUUAUCGUCAAUGAUGAAAGUUGUCUGAAUUUUAAAACGAUCCCAUUGCCAUCGACAGACGACGACAGGCAGCCAGAUUGCAGUCCUCUUCCGUCCGGAGUGGAAGAAAAUCGAUACUAAUGGGGCUACGUGGAACGCUACUUCUGCCUGCCUCCCCAACUGCUGCAGCACCAAAUGAUGACGAUGAUGAUAGCAGAAACGACGACGUCGUCGACUACGGCAACUGAGCUAACGAGGGUUGAAGGCUAAAGAAUCUACAGAAUCAACAGGUGGCCGUUUCAGCGGAAUUACCCCACUCGUUCGGCAGUCAAAUAAACAAGCAUUUAAUGAAGGAGAACACUUUUAUCAAAAAGUAGCCAAUGAAAUAUAUAGACAUCAGCGAAAAUUUAAACAUAUUUUUUAGUAAUACGGGAAGAGCAUCAAUUUUCGACCCUUUCAUACGCAUUUGGCCUACUUUGUACGAAAAUCCGGAAAUUGGCACAGAUUUCUUGUAGAUCGAAAAUUAGUGUUUUUUCCCUGCACGAAAUUAAAAUACGUAAUACUAAAAUACAUAUUUUCUAUAAGUGAA